rnacentral:rRNA from 1 species
ACUCCUACGGGAGGCAGCAGUGGGGGAAUAUUGCACAAUGGGGGGAAACCCUGAUGCAGCCAUGCCGCGUGUGUGAAAAGGCCUUCGGGUUGUAAAGCACUUUCAGUAGGGAGGAAGGUAGUGUAGUUAACACCUGCAUUAUUUUGACGUUACCUACAGAAGAAGCACCGGCUAACUCCGUGCCAGCAGCCGCGGUAAUACGGAGGGUGCGAGCGUUAAUCGGAAUUACUGGGCGUAAAGCGCAUGCAGGCGGCCUGUUAAGUCAGAUGUGAAAGCCCGGGGCUUAACCUCGGAAUUGCAUUUGAAACUGGCAGGCUAGAGUCUUGUAGAGGGGGGUAGAAUUUCAGGUGUAGCGGUGAAAUGCGUAGAGAUCUGAAGGAAUACCAGUGGCGAAGGCGGCCCCCUGGACAAAGACUGACGCUCAGAUGCGAAAGCGUGGGGAGCAAACAGGAUUAG